rnacentral:rRNA from 1 species
GAUGAACGCUGGCGGCGUGCCUAAUACAUGCAAGUCGAGCGAACAGAUGAGGAGCUUGCUCCUCUGACGUUAGCGGCGGACGGGUGAGUAACACGUGGAUAACCUACCUAUAAGACUGGGAUAACUUCGGGAAACCGGAGCUAAUACCGGAUAAUAUAUUGAACCGCAUGGUUCAAUAGUGAAAGACGGUUUUGCUGUCACUUAUAGAUGGAUCCGCGCCGCAUUAGCUAGUUGGUAAGGUAAAGGCUUACCAAGGCAACGAUGCGUAGCCGACCUGAGAGGGUGAUCGGCCACACUGGAACUGAGACACGGUCCAGACUCCUACGGGAGGCAGCAGUAGGGAAUCUUCCGCAAUGGGCGAAAGCCUGACGGAGCAACGCCGCGGGAGGGAUGAAGGUCUUCGGAUCGUAAAACUCUGUUAUUAGGGAAGAACAAAUGUGUAAGUAACUAUGCACGUCUUGACGGUACCUAAUCAGAAAGCCACGGCUAACUACGUG